UACGGGGGGGGCAAGCGUUGUUCGGAAUUACUGGGCGUAAAGGGCUUGUAGGUGGCCAACUAAGUCAGACGUGAAAUCCCUCGGCUUAACCGGGGAACUGCGUCUGAUACUGGAUGGCUUGAGUGUGGGAGAGGGAUGUGGAAUUCCUGGUGUAGCGGUGAAAUGCGCAGAUAUCAGGAGGAACACCAGCGGCGAAGGCGGCGCUCUGGGCCGGUACUGACGCUGAGGAGCGAAAGCGUGGGGAGCAAACAGG
rnacentral:rRNA from 1 species